UUUACCACGCUGAGAGAACCAGGAAUUGAACCACUGGUCAGUUAAAGAAGCUGAAGCUCUUCUACAUUUUGUUUUAUUUAUUUGUUUCUCCAUUAGCUGCCUAAUUAAUGAAAGCUAAUCUUCUUGGGGCCCACACACAAACAUUAAACACAUUCAGGCUUAAUGAAAGAAAUCAGUUGGUUUAUGAACAUGUUUAAAUAAAAACAUGUAUACAUUUCUUGAGUCCCACAAGUUGAACAGUUUCUGUCAAUAGAUUUGAUCUUUGGAGGUAAAAAACAGGGUAAGAGGAAGUUCUUGUGUUUAGAGGAAAUAAACUUUCAAUAGAAAAGAGAAGUUCCUGGUUUAGGGGCGAAGGAGGAAGAGGAGCAGCGUUAGAAACCUGUAGCAGCUCAGGAUGAAGGUCUCUCACUGUUUCAUCUGCUUCUUCCUCCUCAGACUGCAGGACGGAGAACUUGGAUCCGUUCAAGCAGCAACCUACAGAGAGAUGGAGGGAAAAAACAUCUCAGUUUCAUGUUCAUUUUCCACAAAUGGGAUAAAAAUGUACUUCUGCAAGAAAGACUGUAGCAGAAAAAACAUUCUUGUUGAAACUAUAAAGAACAGAGCUCAGAGCGGCAGAUACAGCAUUGAAUUUAAUAAAACAGGAGCAUCGUAUGUUGUUGUAGUGAGCAUCACUGAGCUGAAAAGGUCUGACUCUGGAUGGUACAGAUGUGAAUUGGGAUUAAUUGUGACUCAACGUGAGGAUUUUGAGAUUGUUGUCAACUAUGUGUCAGAACCUCCCCAACCAGAUUCCUCAACAGCAGCAACAACAACAGCAGC